CUUCACCUAGCUUGCUGGGAGCACCAAUUUUCUUUUCUGUUGCAAACUCCACUGCAUACAUAUAUAUGGGGAGGUAGAUGCUCCAGCUCGGUUUUACAGUGGAAUCUGCAGGAACUUCAAACCGGCACUAGGAAACAGACUGAGAAACCAGACUGAUUGUUUCUCCUGCAGUCCGUUCCAUUUUUGCUAGAUGAAGGAACGUCUCUCCACAUGCUAAUUUCUGUCAGAUAAUUGUGUGUGAAAGCCUUCCUUCACCUAGCCUUUUGGGAACACAAAGUUUCUUUUCAGUUCGAAACCCCACUACAUACAUGUAUAAGGGGAAGUACUAGCUCCAACCCGGGUUUACAGUGAAAACUGCAGGAACUUCAAACCGGCACUAGGAAACAGCCUGAGAAACCAGAGUAAGUGUUUCUCAUGCAACCUAUUCCCUUGUGCUAGAUGAACAAAAGUCUCUUCACAUGCUCAGUUCUGAGAGAUAUUUGUGUUUGUAAGCCGUCCUUCACCUGGCUUGUUGGGAACACAAAGUUUCUUUUCAAUUGAAAACUCCACUACAUGCAUAUAUAUUGGGAGGUACUAGUUCCAACUC